GAAUUGUUCGCAAUGGGCGCAAGCCUGACGACGCAACGCCGCGUGGAGGACGAAGGUCUUCGGAUCGUAAACUCCUGUCGCGCGGGACGAAUGCCCGGGUGGUUAACAGCCGUCCGGGGUGACGGUACCGCGAGAGGAAGCCCCGGCUAACUCCGUGCCAGCAGCCGCGGUAAUACGGGGGGGGCUAGCGUUGUUCGGAAUUACUGGGCGUAAAGGGCUCGUAGGCGGCCUGUCAAGUCGGACGUGAAAUCCCCCGGCUCAACCUGGGAACUGCGUCCGAUACUGGCUGGCUUGAAUCCGGGAGAGGGAUGCGGAAUUCCAGGUGUAGCGGUGAAAUGCGUAGAUAUCUGGAGGAACACCGGUGGCGAAGGCGGCAUCCUGGACCGGGAUUGACGCUGAGGAGCGAAAGCCAGGGGAGCAAACGG
rnacentral:rRNA from 1 species